AUUGAACGCUGGCGGCAUGCUUUACACAUGCCAGUCGAACGGUAACAGGCCGCAAGGUGCUGACGAGUGGCGAACGGGUGAGUAAUGCAUCGGAACGUGCCCAGUCGUGGGGGAUAACUACUCGAAAGAGUAGCUAAUACCGCAUACGAUCUAUGGAUGAAAGCGGGGGACCGUAAGGCCUCGCGCGAUUGGAGCGGCCGAUGUCAGAUUAGGUAGUUGGUGGGGUAAAGGCUCACCAAGCCAACGAUCUGUAGCUGGUCUGAGAGGACGACCAGCCACACUGGGACUGAGACACGGCCCAGACUCCUACGGGAGGCAGCAGUGGGGAAUUUUGGACAAUGGGCGCAAGCCUGAUCCAGCAAUGCCGCGUGCAGGAAGAAGGCCUUCGGGUUGUAAACUGCUUUUGUACGGAGCGAAACGGCUCUGGUUAAUACCCGGGGCUAAUGACGGUACCGUAAGAAUAAGCACCGGCUAACUACGUG
rnacentral:rRNA from 1 species